rnacentral:pre_miRNA from 1 species
UAGGUAGUUUCAUGUUGUUGGGGGUAUUUAUGGGACACUCAGCAACGUGGAACUGCCAAGA